rnacentral:antisense_RNA from 1 species
CUUGAUCGACCCCAGCCACAGCGGCCGGUCGCGGCCCUGCCCAUACGUCGCCAGAAUCGCCUGCGCCUC